rnacentral:rRNA from 1 species
GUGGAUUAGAUACCCUGGUAGUCCACGCCGUAAACGUUGGGCGCUAGGUGUGGGACUCAUUCCACGAGUUCCGUGCCGCAGCUAACGCAUUAAGCGCCCCGCCUGGGGAGUACGGCCGCAAGGCUAAAACUCAAAGGAAUUGACGGGGGCCCGCACAAGCGGCGGAGCAUGCGGAUUAAUUCGAAGCAACGCGAAGAACCUUACCUGGGUUUGACAUAUAGGGAAAUCUCCUGGAGACAGGAGGUCCGUAAGGGCUCUAUACAGGUGGUGCACGGUUGUCGACAACU